AGGGCGAAGCCACCUGGACUAAAACGUCCCGCACUCUCGAGAUGGGUGAAGCGAGCUCGGCCCCUUCCUUGACGCGGAGACGGAGGCUGGCCUCGGGUCCUCUGGGAAAUGAAGUCACGUGGACGUCUCCGGGUCCCGCUGACGCUCCCCUCUCCCAGGGGGUCGCAGAUCAUAUGCUCUGGGGUAAGCCAGCUGCCAUGUCAUGAGGAGCCCUAAGGAGACUCACGUAUGAAAGAAAUGAGCCUGCUGCUAACAGCCAGUGUCAAUCUGCUAGUUAUGUGAGUGCGCCACCUUGGGAGCAAACACUCCAGCUUCAGUCAAGCCUUCAGAGACUGAAUCCCCAGCUAACACGUUGAUGGAGACCUCAUGAGACACCAUGAGCCAGACUGGCCAGCUAAGUCACUCCUUAGCUCUGUGUUAUAAUAAAUACUUGUUAUUUUAAGCUGCCAA